rnacentral:rRNA from 1 species
UACGAAGGGGGGCUAGCGUUGCUCGGAAUCACUGGGCGUAAAGCGCACGUAGGCGGAUUGCUAAGUCAGGGGUGAAAUCCUGGAGCUCAACUCCAGAACUGCCUUUGAUACUGGCGACCUUUGAGUCCGGGAGAGGUGAGUGGAACUGCGAGUGUAGAGGUGAAAUUUCGUAGAUAUUCGCAAGAACACCAGUGGCGAAGGCGGCUCACUGGCCCGGUACUGACGCUGAGGUGCGAAAGCGUGGGGAGCAACAGG